rnacentral:lncRNA from 12 species
AUGGAGAUCAUUUUUAUCGACUUGUUACAAGCUAAGAACUCUGAGUUCUCUAUCUUUUAUGACACGUUGAUUCUAGAAGUAACUUCUGACUCCAUUCCAGCUGUCUUCACUGAUGGAGGAUUCUGGGGGAAUGGCUAUAGGGGAGAGCAUCUUCUCCUGAUCAGAAUUUAUGGAUACACGGCUUCUAGUCAACUGACCUGGGGCCGCUUCUGUUGCACAGCCCACUCCAGCUGGCCCCCCAGUCGUCUUCCCUCAGGGUUGUCACUCUGCCCUUCCCACAAAGGUUCGAUAAUAUAACCAACAGAAAUAAUAACCCUGCCUCAGAUUGCAGAUUAGCACAUGAAUGCCUGUUUAUCACAUGAAAGGCCUCCUGAUCCAGCUGGAGGAAAACAUCCAAUAGGAGACCAGACGGACUGCAGCUCUGAGAUCAGUCUGGUGGAGUCUCCUGGCCCAGUGACUCACUCCUGAUGUGGGGUUGUGGGCUGUUUCCAGUGUCAGUGUCAGUGUUUCAAAACUUUGACCAUUAACAUUUUGGACAUGAUUUGGAGCAGGGAAGGGACAUCUACAAGGGGAGUGUGGAGGGCUUUGGGAUUAUCCAACUUUAUACUUUUCCAGCAGUGUGACAAAUCUCCUGUCCUUGAGCCUCAUUCCUCAUCUGUAAAAUGGAUGUAAUCAAUCGUAGGAUGAGCCUCCUAGAGUUGAGUUGAGUUGAGUUGAGUAACUAAGUGUAUCUUCAGUGCCUGGUGUGGUGUAGACCAGGGCAGGGCAACCUUUCUCUGUAAAGGGUCAGGCAGUCAAUAGUCUGGCUUUGUGGGUACUUAUUCAAAUC